ACUUUGUUCGAAAUCUAAUUACUAUGGAUGGUAAACAGAACUUUUAUGCAGCAUAUCAGUCAAGAAACAAAGGAAGAAGAUCUGUCUCAAGGAUUUAAUCGAUGGAGUUCCGCUGCUAAAGGACGUGAGAGGCAGUCCCAUCAUUGGAAGUUUACUGUUUGAAUCGCAAGGAUCUGGGAUUACAUAAGCACAUACUUUACUGAAUUCUAUAGUUCUAUUCGUUGGCACAUCGGUUGAUCAAUUUUGAGGUAAAGCGAAGUUGUUAUCCGAAAAAUACUUACCUACUUAAAGAAGGUCCAAAUAGAAAAAAUGUUGAUUUUCAGGUAUGCUAGCAUUCAAAUCUACUUCGGACACCAGAUCACACAUCAAAAUUUUGAUACCUGAAAUGAUAGCUUCAGAAGAAGGGUAUCAAAAUAGAUUCAUGGUCUCUUUGCUUAGUUCUAUGCUUCUCAAAAUGCUUUAGUAUAUGCCCAUAGUAUCAUAGUACGAAUUGUUCUGUGAGCAGUUUCCUUUGUCUACCAUCAGGGAUAGUAAUUCAUUCGGUAAUCUGAUACGUAUAUGUUCUGCAUUUCUGACUGAAAUAAUGGUAAGUUUGGCUUUGGCAAUUGGUGUGUGUAGUUUUUUCAGUUGAUAUAAUUUGAUCAUGCUGAAGGCAAGAUAUACAUCAUGGUUGCUUCACGUAGCUUAAAGGUCCUGGGUCAGUGUUAAAUGUGAAAUAGCUUCACCGGGCAAGUUGUUUCACUUCUUUACAUUCAAGAGUUAAAACCAGGGACGAAGCACAAUCAGACACUCUGUUUUUGCAAAAUAUUUUCUACCUUCCUCUGUCGUUGAAGUGUAUUGGCUUUCUUUCUUACAAUACAAAACUGAAAAGUAUUGUUUAAUAAACUAUAAUAGAAUUUUUCUAAGGUGGAGAUGAGAAAAUUGUGAACAAGAUAGAACACAGUCAGUAUGGUAUCUGUGUUUCUUAAUCAAGGUCCUGAAUUUAGCUUGAUGAACUAUCAAUUCAAAUAGAUCAAAGAACAAUGGUUAUAACUUUUGUAGGGCAUUCUGUCCUGGAAAUACAAUUGUUGAUAGAUCUGCUUUCCUGCGAUCAAGAGACAAAGAAAACUGGAACGAAGCAAUCCUGUUACUGAAUUUUCGUAUAUAUACGUGCGUCAUCCCUCAAGAGGAGAACUCUUAGUCAGAGUCGAACUCUGCAUCCUCUCCGCCUUCCCUAACCCCUCUCAUAAAUAUCGUCUUCGGUGGCUUGGGGGAGAGGAGCGGAGUGGGGUGUGGAUCCCGUGGAUGCGGACGAGAGAAGCAAAACAUUGAUGUCGGCGGCAAGGGCCUUCCCGAGACUCCGAACGUGCUGCUUGACAGAACCUGGGCAUGUGCAACGAAGGCUCGCCGCCGUCGGGAUCCGGCCACCACGGGCUCCCAGCGUCGGGUACCGGAACCAAUCUUGCAGGCUCCGUUGGUUUCUCUCGGAGCAAGUGACGCCAUUGGGAUCCGGCUACCACGAGCUCCCCAGGGUUGGAUCCGUCUGUCCUGGAGCCGACCCUGCACCCUGUGCUCCUUUCUCUAGGAGCAAGCAAGCGAUUGCCGCAGCAGCGGCGCGAGGGAGCGAGCUCUGCCUUGAGGUGCCACUGGGGCAGACAACCACGAGCUCCUCCACCACCAUCUGAUCCCCUACCCGGGUUCAUCUGCUCAUCUGCACCGUUAUGGCGGCUAGCAUCAGUACCUCUCUAUCCUCCUCACCAGUUACGUCAUACACCGAUAUCAAUAGGGACUGUACCUUGCUUCGUUCCGACGCGUGGAGGCUGGCCUCCUCGCCCACCCCGUACUGCACUGUUGCAAGGACAAACCAACCCAGGAGGAGGCAAAUAAUGUUGUCAAGCAAACGCACAUAGUACUAUAGGGUCUGAUCACUUCCUGUGUGUACAUUGGUACUGAGUUCAGAAUGCAUGCCAUCCAACUCAUGCAUCAUAUAUAAGUGAUGGCAUGCUGUUGCCGAAUUGUGAACCAUACAUCUACAAAGAAAAUCAUGGGAAACUUCCUUCCGUGUAAAUUGUGUUUGUACAGAUCAACUGCAGCUGUGGUAUGUAUUGCAGAGGGUUGUACAUACAUAUUUUCAAGGGGAGUAAAAGGGCAGUUGUUGUCAACCUGCUUGUGCUCUAUAACAGACUUGCUUACUAAUUAUGUUGGAGGAUGCCGAUGCUGCCAUAAACAUGUCUAUGAUUUAAUGUUGCAUCCCAGCUCAAAUCUUGUGCCUUAAUUGAUUUUGUUGUUUUUGCAUAGCUUCUGAAGGUCAAUGUAGCCAGUGAGUGUGCCCUCGAAAUCAACGUCCUUCAUAUUAGCAUCGUUGAAGGUUGGUCCUGGCAAG